GUAAAAGUCCGCUAUUACUUUGUAUGAAUGUGUGAGAGAGCGAUAGCUGGCAUUUAUGGGGUUAACUGUGUCGGAGAGAGGAGAGAGACGUGCGUCAUGACGUCACGGUGCAGCGGCGUUGCAGGUACGCAAAACUCUGUGUGGGAAAGGAGAGAACGCACCGUUCGGUUGCACGAGGAACGCUCUGAUUGGAAAAUAUCUAGAAGUAGUUAAAAAACACCGCGAGCUGACUCAACAGUCCACGGUUGAUGUUGCCCGCUCGGCGGUCAGGUUUUUGUGAAGGAUUUGAAUUGGUGACGCUCGAUGUCGAGGGGACAUCAGCGACACCGGUAGUCGACGAUAGAUAGGAGACCAGCACUGGAUAGCCACCAGGCGGCUUCCAGACAUCCGCUGGAGAUAACCAGAUGGCGAGCCGGAACUAAGGAACAGAGUCAACUGAACUACCUCCCAAACCUGCGGUGUGGUAGGAAACACAAAGAUCAAAGGGCCCCAACGAUAUAAACUGAGCUCAUAUCAAGGAAGAGAAGACCAUAAAGACAUUUCUUUAUAUUUCUAUUUUAUUUUGCGCGCAUUUUAUUAUUUUCCAUGUUGAAAAUUGUUGUUAACAAUACAGUUUUGAAACCAUA